rnacentral:rRNA from 1 species
GACGAACGCUGGCGGCGUGCUUAACACAUGCAAGUCGAACGGAAAGGCCCUGCUUUUGUGGGGUGCUCGAGUGGCGAACGGGUGAGUAACACGUGAGUAACCUGCCCUUGACUUUGGGAUAACUUCAGGAAACUGGGGCUAAUACCGGAUAGGAGCUCCUGCUGCAUGGGGGGGGUUGGAAAGUUUCGGCGGUUGGGGAUGGACUCGCGGCUUAUCAGCUUGUUGGUGGGGUAGUGGCUUACCAAGGCUUUGACGGGUAGCCGGCCUGAGAGGGUGACCGGCCACAUUGGGACUGAGAGACGGCCCAGACUCCUACGGGCGGCAGCAGUGGGGAAUAUUGCACAAUGGGCGGAAGCCUGAUGCAGCAACGCCGCGUGCGGGAUGACGGCCUUCGGGUUGUAAACCGCUUUCGCCUGUGACGAAGCGUGAGUGACGGUAAUGGGUAAAGAAGCACCGGCUAACUACGUG